GAUGAACGCUGGCGGCGUGCCUAAUACAUGCAAGUCGAGCGAACAGACGAGGAGCUUGCUCCUCUGACGUUAGCGGCGGACGGGUGAGUAACACGUGGAUAACCUACCUAUAAGACUGGGAUAACUUCUGGAAACCGGAGCUAAUACCGGAUAAUAUAUUGAACCGCAUGGUUCAAUAGUGAAAGACGGUUUUGCUGUCACUUAUAGAUGGAUCCGCGCCGCAUUAGCUAGUUGGUAAGGUAACGGCUUACCAAGGCAACGAUGCGUAGCCGACCUGAGAGGGUGAUCGGCCACACUGGAACUGAGACACGGUCCAGACUCCUACGGGAGGCAGCAGUAGGGAAUCUUCCGCAAAGGGCGAAAGCCUGACGGAGCAACGCCGCGUGAGUGAUGAAGGUCUUCGGAUCGUAAAACUCUGUUAUUAGGGAAGAACAAAUGUGUAAGUAACUAUGCACGUCUUGACGGUACCUAAUCAGAAAGCCACGGCUAACUACGUG
rnacentral:rRNA from 1 species